rnacentral:rRNA from 1 species
GAAUGAAACGCCUAGCGACAGGCCUAACACAUGCAAGUCGAGGGGUAACAUUGGUGCUUGCACCAGAUGACGACCGGCGCACGGGUGCGUAACGCGUAUGAAACUUACCUGUUAACAAGGGAUAGCCCGAAGAAAUUUGGAUUAAUACCUUAUGGUCUAUUAUUUUCGCAUGUUUAUAAUAGUAAAGAUUUAUCGAUAACAGAUAGUCAUGCGUGACAUUAGGUAGUUGGUGGAGUAACGGCCCACCAAGCCGACGAUGUCUAGGGGUUCUGAGAGGAAGGUCCCCCACACUGGUACUGAGACACGGACCAGACUCCUACGGGAGGCAGCAGUGAGGAAUAUUGGUCAAUGGACGCAAGUUUGAACCAGCCAUGUCGCGUGCAGGAGAACGGCCCUAUGGGUCUUAAACUGCUUUUAUACGGGAAGAAAGGGGAGUAUUAAUACUCUUAUAUGCCGGUACCGUAUGAAUAAGCAUCGGCUAACUCCGUGCCAGCAGCCGCGGUAAUACGGAGGAUGCGAGCGUUAUCCGGAUUUAUUGGGUUUAAAGGGUGCGUAGGCUGAAUAAUAAGUCAGUGGUGAAAUUCGGUGGCUCAACCAUCACACUGCCAUUGAUACUGUUAUUCUUGAAUUAAGUUGAGGUAUGCGGAAUGUGUUAAGUAGCGGUGAAAUGCAUAGAUAUAACACAGAACACCAAUUGCGAAGGCAGCAUACUAAGUUUAUAUUGACGCUGAUGCACGAAAGCGCGGGUAGCGAACAGGAUUAGAUACCCUGGUAGUCCGCGCCGUAAACGAUGAUUACUGGUUGUUGGCGAUAGACAGUCAGCGACUGAGCGAAAGCAUUAAGUAAUCCACCUGGGGAGUACGUUGGCAACAAUGAAACUCAAAGGAAUUGACGGGGGCCCGCACAAGCGGAGGAACAUGUGGUUUAAUUCGAUGAUACGCGAGGAACCUUACCCGGACUUAAAUGUAUAUUGACGUAACAAGAGAUUGUUAUUUCUUCGGACAAUAUACAAGGUGCUGCAUGGUUGUCGUCAGCUCGUGCCGUGAGGUGUCGGGUUAAGUCCCAUAACGAGCGCAACCCCAAUUGUUAGUUACUAGCGAGUAGUGUCGAGGACUCUAGCAAGACUGCCGGUGUAAACCGCGAGGAAGGUUGGGAUGACGUCAAAUCGGCACGGCCCUUACGUUCGGGGCUACACACGUGUUACAAUGGUCGAUACAAAGGGCAGCUACCCGGUGACGGGAUGCUAAUCUCAAAAGUCGGUCUCAGUUCGGAUCGAAGUCUGCAACUCGACUUCGUGAAGCUGGAUUCGCUAGUAAUCGCGCAUCAGCCAUGGCGCGGUGAAUACGUUCCCGGGCCU